UAGAAGAUAGUGUAGGGGAGCACGAAGACUUUUGACCUCUUCAGAAUGGGUUCAAAUCCCCUUUUUCUAA
rnacentral:tRNA from 1 species